AUGAAUUCCAGCCGGAGCUUGCUCUCGUCGCCGCUCUUCCCCACCUCAUCUCCAAACUUCAGGGGCGCCGCCUCCUCCCCAUCCCCCUCCCGCGCAUCAGUUCCGAUGAUACACGACAGCACCGGCGGCAGAGCAUCCACGGCGUGCCACUACUCGCCCUCGCUCGUGGCCGAGGAGCAGGCCCAUGGCUCCGUGUCUUUGAAGGGCGAGAAGGCCUUGCUGGAGUUCCUGCUGGACAUGGCCUUGGAGCAGCACACGGAAGGGAAGACUUUCAAAGCCGAAGAGGGGGCAGAGGGCGAGUUCGAGAGCUAUCUGCGAGGCCUGCAGCGGCAAGUCAUUUACCAGCAGGCCUUUGGUGAAAAGAACAACUUCACCUCUGCAAUCACUUCAACUUCAACGCCAUCGGCAAAAUCAGUUCCAACUUUGGAUCUCGGCGCAACCUCGGUGACCUUGAUGAAGGAGGUGGCCUUUUUGGCAGAUGGAUCAAGACCUUCAACCACCCAGCUGAAUGUACCACCAGUAACGCUUGCAACCAGUGUGGAGUCGACCCACCCGUACGAGAAGCUGCUGAGCAAUGGGCAAGUGUUUAUUCGGUCUACACGGUUGCUUGAGAGAAGAUCCAAGAAGCGGAAUGUUCCUCAGGCAUCAACAAGCAGUACUGAUGUUGUGCAGUGCAGUGUUGCUGAUUCAAAGAAGAAAGAGAAGCCAAAGAAGUAUGGCAGGGUUCUCGGUCCAGAUGAACCCUUCAGGUUGUUCCUACGAGACCGCGAGACGACAGAGUUCUUGACGGCAAAGGAAGAGAGACACUUGUUCAGCCAGAUACAGAAUCUUAUGAAACUGGAGGAGGCUCAGCGUAGGCUAGAAGCGCAGUGUGGCCGCGAGCCGACGCUUCCCGAGUGGGCUCAGGCCGUGGGAAUGAGCUGCAAGGAGCUGCAGUCGUCCAUACACAUCGGAAGGCGCUGCAGGGAGAAGAUGGCCCGCUCCAACUUCCGCCUUGUGAUACACGUAGCUAGGAAAUACCAGGGAUAUGGCCUUGACAUCGAGGACCUAGUUCAGGACGGAUGCUGUGGGUUGAUGAAGACCUUCGAGAAAUUCAAUCCAAGCAAGGGAUGCAGGUUCCCGACGUAUGCGUACUGGUGGAUACGCCAAGCAAUCAAAAAGUCUAUCUUCAAGCAUUCGAGACUGAUUCGGUUGCCGGAGAGUGUGUAUGCACGUCUGAAAAAGGUGGGGAAAGCAAGGCUGGAGUGCAUCUUGGAAGGGGAGCAGCCUACUAACCAAAAUGUAGCUAGGCGUGCCGGCAUCACGAUCGAGAAGCUGGCGAAACUCAAAGCAAAGACCAGAAAGCCACGAUCAAUGCAGGAUCAAGUUUGGUCCAACGACGCAGUCACCUUCCAGGAGAUCACGGAGGACCCGAACAUCGAUCCACCGGACCUGGUGGUGGACAGGAUAAUGAUGAGGCAGCAGGUGCGGGAGUUCCUGGGCGUCCUGACCACGAGGGAGAAGGAGAUCAUCGAGCACCGGUUCGGGAUCUACGACGGCGAGCCCAAGACGCUCCACGUGAUCGGGGACAUGUACGGCCUGUCCAAGGAGCGGAUCCGGCAGCUCCAGAACCGGGCGCUGGACAAGCUGAAGCGGAGCGUGUCCACGCAGGGGUUCGACGUCUACUUGGACCUGCUGACCUCGAAUGGCUAG
rnacentral:rRNA from 1 species